rnacentral:rRNA from 1 species
UACCAGCACCCCGAGUGGUCGGGACGUUUAUUGGGCCUAAAGCAUCCGUAGCCGGUUCUACAAGUCUUCCGUUAAAUCCAGCUGCUUAACAGAUGGGCUGCGGAAGAUACUAUGGAGCUAGGAGGCGGGAGAGGCAAGCGGUACUCGAUGGGUAGGGGUAAAGUCCGUUGAUCCAUUGAAGACCACCAGUGGCGAAGGCGGCUUGCCAGAAUGCGCUCGACGGUGAGGGAUGAAAGCUGGGGGAGCAAACCGG